UUACGGCCACAUCACAUUUAAACACGAGUUCCCGUAAAAGCACCGUAGUUAAGGAACAUCGAGCAUGGUCAGUACCUACAUGGGUGACUGUUUGGGAAUAUCAGGUGCUGUAAG